CACGGGGGGAGCAAGCGUUGUUCGGAUUCAUUGGGCGUAAAGGGCUCGUAGGUGGCUCUGUAAGUCGGAGGUGAAAGACCACGGCUCAACCGUCGGAAACGCCUUCGAAACUGUGGAGCUUGAGGCUGGGAGAGGAGAUCGGAAUUCCUGGUGUAGCGGUGAAAUGCGUAGAGAUCGGGAGGAACACCUGUGGCGAAGGGCGGCCGUCUGGGCCGACCCUGACGCGUGAGGCGCGAAGGCGGAUGGGGAGCAAACUGGGG
rnacentral:rRNA from 1 species